AAAGAUUGUCCAUUGAAAAUUGAAUAUCUAUAUCAAAUUCCACGAUUCAAGAAAUUGAAUUGUAGAUAGUAACAAGAAAUAAACCGAAACGCUGUGAUUUAAUGAGUUUAAGGUCAACAGACCAAAAUAAGGUUAAGUUAAUAAGGGCGCACGGUGGAUGCCUUGGCACUAGAAGCCGAUGAAGGACGUGACUAACGACGAAAUGCUUUGGGGAGUUGUAAGUAAACAUUGAUCCAGAGAUGUCCGAAUGGGGGAACCCGGCAUGUAAUGCAUGUCACUCAUUACUGUUAAGGUAAUGAAGAGGAAGACGCAGUGAACUGAAACAUCUAAGUAGCUGCAGGAAGAGAAAGCAAACGCGAUUGCCUUAGUAGCGGCGAGCGAAAUGGCAAGAGGGCAAACCGAUGUGUUUACACAUCGGGGUUGUAGGACUGCGACGUGGGACGACAAGAUUAUAGAAGAAUUACCUGGGAAGGUAAGCCAAAGAGAGUAACAGCCUCGUAUUCGAAAUAGUCUUUAACCCUAGCAGUAUCCUGAGUACGGCGAGACACGAGAAAUCUCGUCGGAAUCUGGGAGGACCAUCUCCUAACCCUAAAUACUCUCUAGUGACCGAUAGUGAACCAGUACCGUGAGGGAAAGGUGAAAAGCACCCCGGGAGGGGAGUGAAAUAGAACCUGAAACCGUGUGCCUACAACAAGUUCGAGCCCGUUAAUGGGUGAGAGCGUGCCUUUUGUAGAAUGAACCGGCGAGUUACGAUAUGAUGCGAGGUUAAGUUGAAGAGACGGAGCCGUAGGGAAACCGAGUCUUAAUAGGGCGCAUUAGUAUCAUGUCGUAGACCCGAAACCAUGUGACCUACCCAUGAGCAGGGUGAAGGUGAGGUAAAACUCACUGGAGGCCCGAACCAGGGCACGUUGAAAAGUGCUUGGAUGACUUGUGGGUAGCGGAGAAAUUCCAAACGAACUUGGAGAUAGCUGGUUCUCUCCGAAAUAGCUUUAGGGCUAGCGUCGAUGUUAAGUCUCUUGGAGGUAGAGCACUGUUUGAUUGAGGGGUCCAUCCCGGAUUACCAAUAUCAGAUAAACUCCGAAUGCCAAUGAGAUAUAAUCGGCAGUCAGACUGCGAGUGCUAAGAUCCGUAGUCGAAAGGGAAACAGCCCAGACCACCAGCUAAGGUCCCAAAAUAUAUGUUAAGUGGAAAAGGAUGUGGGGUUGCACAGACAACUAGGAUGUUAGCUUAGAAGCAGCUAUUCAUUCAAAGAGUGCGUAAUAGCUCACUAGUCGAGUGACCCUGCGCCGAAAAUGUACCGGGGCUAAAACAUAUUACCGAAGCUGUGGAUACCUUUUAGGUAUGGUAGGAGAGCGUUCUAUGUGUGA
rnacentral:rRNA from 1 species